GAACAUACCCGUUCAGAUGGGGAUAGCUAUUAGAAAUAGUAGAUAAUACCGAAUACGAGCACAGGGGUUAGAGAUCUGUGAGGAAAGGAGCUAAGGCUCCGCUGAAGGAAUGGCCUGCGGCCCAUUAGCUAGUUGGUGAGGUAAGAGCCCACCAAGGCGAUGAUGGGUAUCCGGCCUUAGAGGGUGAACGGACACAUUGGGACUGAGAUACGGCCCAGACUCCUACGGGAGGCAGCAGCUAAGAAUAUUCCGCAAUGGACGAAAGUCUGACGGAGCGACGCCGCGUGGAAUGAAGAAGGCCGGAAGGUUGUAAAAUCCUUUUGAAACUGAAGAAUAAGCGUUGUAGGGAAUGACAGCGUGGUGACAGUAGGUUUUGAAUAAGCAACGGCUAAUUACGUGCCAGCAGCCGC
rnacentral:rRNA from 1 species